rnacentral:rRNA from 1 species
UCGGGGGUACUCGAGCGGCGAACGGGUGAGUAACACGUGAGUAAUCUGCCCUGUGCUCUGGGAUAGCCACCGGAAACGGUGAUUAAUACCGGAUACAACCACUAUAGGCAUCUGUUGGUGGUGGAAAGUUUUUUCGGCAUGGGAUGUGCUCGCGGCCUAUCAGCUUGUUGGUGAGGUAAUGGCUCACCAAGGCUUUGACGGGUAGCCGGCCUGAGAGGGUGACCGGUCACACUGGGACUGAGACACGGCCCAGACUCCUACGGGAGGCAGCAGUGGGGAAUAUUGGACAAUGGGCGGAAGCCUGAUCCAGCAACGCCGCGUGAGGGAUGACGGCCUUCGGGUUGUAAACCUCUUUCAGUACCGACGAAGCGAAAGUGACGGUAGGUACAGAAGAAGGACCGGCCAACUACGUGCCAGCAGCCGCGGUAAUACGUAGGGUCCGAGCGUUGUCCGGAAUUAUUGGGCGUAAAGGGCUCGUAGGCGGUUUGUCGCGUCGGGAGUGAAAACACCGGGCUUAACUCGGUGCUUGCUUCCGAUACGGGCAGACUAGAGGUAUGCAGGGGAGAAUGGAAUUCCUGGUGUAGCGGUGAAAUGCGCAGAUAUCAGGAGGAACACCGGUGGCGAAGGCGGUUCUCUGGGCAUUACCUGACGCUGAGGAGCGAAAGUGUGGGGAGCGAACAGGAUUAGAUACCCUGGUAGUCCACACCGUAAACGUUGGGCGCUAGGUGUGGGGCCUAUUCCAUGGGUUCCGUGCCGUAGCUAACGCA